UGGCGGCAGGCCUAACACAUGCAAGUCGAGCGGAUGACGAGAGCUUGCUCUCUGAUUCAGCGGCGGACGGGUGAGUAAUGCCUAGGAAUCUGCCUGGUAGUGGGGGACAACGUCUCGAAAGGGACGCUAAUACCGCAUACGUCCUACGGGAGAAAGCAGGGGACCUUCGGGCCUUGCGCUAUCAGAUGAGCCUAGGUCGGAUUAGCUAGUUGGUGAGGUAAUGGCUCACCAAGGCGACGAUCCGUAACUGGUCUGAGAGGAUGAUCAGUCACACUGGAACUGAGACACGGUCCAGACUCCUACGGGAGGCAGCAGUGGGGAAUAUUGGACAAUGGGCGAAAGCCUGAUCCAGCCAUGCCGCGUGUGUGAAGAAGGUCUUCGGAUUGUAAAGCACUUUAAGUUGGGAGGAAGGGUUGUAGAUUAAUACUCUGCAAUUUUGACGUUACCGACAGAAUAAGCACCGGCUAACUCUGUGCCAGCAGCCGCGGUAAUACAGAGGGUGCAAGCGUUAAUCGGAAUUACUGGGCGUAAAGCGCGCGUAGGUGGUUUGUUAAGUUGGAUGUGAAAGCCCCGGGCUCAACCUGGGAACUGCAUUCAAAACUGACAAGCUAGAGUAUGGUAGAGGGUGGUGGAAUUUCCUGUGUAGCGGUGAAAUGCGUAGAUAUAGGAAGGAACACCAGUGGCGAAGGCGACCACCUGGACUGAUACUGA
rnacentral:rRNA from 1 species